rnacentral:rRNA from 1 species
UCCGUAGGCGGUGUGGCAAGUCGGAAGUGAAAUCUCUGGGCUUAACUCAGAGGCUGCUUCCGAAACUGCCGUGCUAGAGUGCGAGAGAGGCAAGUGGAAUUGCGGGUGUAGCGGUGAAAUGCGUAGAUAUCCGCAGGAACAUCCGAGGCGAAAGCGGCUUGCUGGAUCGCAACUGACGCUGAGGGACGAAAGCUAGGGAAGCAAACAGGAUUAGAUACCCUGGUAGUCCUAGCCCUAAACCAUCAGGACUUGGGGUUUGCCCUGUACGGGGCAAGUCCCGUAGCUAACGCGUUAAGUCCUGCGCCUGGGGAGUACGGUCGCAAGGCUGAA